CACAAGGACAGCUGGAGACUGCCAGGAGCCAGCAGGGAGAAGCCGAGGGACAGCAGCAGGAGCAGUGAGCGGGGCCCUGCUGCUGCCAGCCUGGAGAGAGCCCGGAUGUGCCAUCUGCUGUCCCUGUCCAGGAGAUCUGCCAAACUUCAUCUGCAGGCUCAGAAGAACCGGUGUCCUUUGGCCACCCUCAGUUCCCUCUGAAGAUGGGAUCACCUGCAGAGCAGAGGGGACCAGCUGCAGCUCCAGGCCCAGCUCUUGCCGGUCACAGCUGAGCCUGUGGCAAGCUCCAGGAGCUGCUGCCAUCUCCCUCCCUGUUGGUAGCUCACUCCCUCCAGUCCCCAGGCCCUGCCCAUCCACCUUUUUCCCUCCCAGCUCACCCCUUCGCUUUGCCUUCCCUUAUUAAACAGUUUGGCUUUUUCA